ACAUGUCAUAGACUCAUGGACCUCCCCUCAACCCUCAUCGCACAGAACGAGAUUCCUUUCUCCCCCCGAAGGCCGUCGGCGCCAUGGCCGGUGGCAGCCUGGAGACGGCGUGGGAGCUCGCCGAACUUUUCGUCCUCCGUCCCGUCCUGGCCGUCACCUUCGUCCUGUCAUUCAUCCUCCUGAGCUGGUAUGUGGCGUGGAGGACGGUGCUGGUGCACGUCCCGCUCGUGCAGGAGAUCGCCGGGCUGCGCCGGAAGAAGCCCGUCAAGCCCAAGCCCCCAAACCGCGGUCGCAUCGCCAGGUUCUACGAGUCGCAAGCCCAGAGGAACAGUAAAUCAGAAGGGACCUCUUAAGGAAUAAUCUUUGGAACUUUGAAAGAAGCAACCUCAGUCGGCAGAACCCCUCAUCUCAUUCCAAUUCAGAAUGUUGUACGUCCAGUGAAAUGGCAUAUUCUCUUCUUUGGGCAGAUCUCAACACGCUUAGGUUGCAACCCCAAAUACACAAUAAUGUAUGCACUAUAUAUUAACCAGCCCCUGUGUAAAGUUUGUGCGAACUAGCGGAACGUCUUGCCUUCUCAGGCCGACAGCUUCGUGUUAUAUAGAUGGGGCGCACCUCCCAUAACAGCGCAUACAUUGGUUGAGAUUA